rnacentral:rRNA from 1 species
AGUGAACGCUGGCGGUAGGCCUAACACAUGCAAGUCGAACGGCAGCACAGUAAGAGCUUGCUCUUACGGGUGGCGAGUGGCGGACGGGUGAGGAAUACAUCGGAAUCUACUUUUUCGUGGGGGAUAACGUAGGGAAACUUACGCUAAUACCGCAUACGACCUACGGGUGAAAGCAGGGGAUCUUCGGACCUUUCGCGAUUGUAUGAGCCGAUGUCGGAUUAGCUAGUUGGCGGGGUAAAGGCCCACCAAGGCGACGAUCCGUAGCUGGUCUGAGAGGAUGAUCAGCCACACUGGAACUGAGACACGGUCCAGACUCCUACGGGAGGCAGCAGUAGGGAAUAUUGGACAAUGGGCGCAAGCCUGAUCCAGCCAUACCGCGUGAGUGAAGAAGGCCUUCGGAUUGUAAAGCCCUUUUGUUAGGAAAGAAAAGCAGCAGGUUAAUACCCCGCUGUUCUGACGGUACCCAAAGAAUAAGCACCGGCUAACUUCGUG